AACCUUAUGGACCUGCGGGCGUAUACCUGCGGAAGGAUCAUUAUAGAAUCGAAAUAAAACGUUUGAGAGAUUUUGGGCAGCCAUAGCGGAGGAACACCCGGCGAGUACGAUGUUAUCGUUCCAAUCUUUUGUGGCUGCUUUUGCAGCCUUGGGGAUGGAGUAGCAAGCAUGCGUGCCUGCUAUGUUGAAAUCUCCGCGUCGUUGGUGUUCAGCUCGAUUAUGGUCUAUGGUCCUGCUCCG
rnacentral:misc_RNA from 1 species